UGUCAAAGUUCCUUCUAGUUCAAAGAAGUCUCUGAGUCUGCAGACGAGCAGCUGUUGGAACCGUCCACAUCAGUAAACAAGUGUUAGCUCUACCAGUCACAAAGCUGGGCGAUUUGUGCACCUUAGCUUCUCCAUCCUUUUCUUCCUUCAGAGGUCCUCCUCCCAUCCCAGCACCUUGGGAUGACAGGUGCCUACAGUUCCCAAGUCUCUGGCUUCAGUAGAAGAGACAAAGAGUCCAGCUUCCAGGCCCCUCCUUUUCCUCGAUUCCCACCAUCAUCCUUCCUCAGCCUGGCCCACUCUUGCAUGUGAGCAGAGAUGGCUCCAAGAUUGGCUUUGGUCUCAGAGCUGCAUCAUGGGCUACAGGCUUCCUCCACCUCCUCCAGCUCCCUCCAUUUUGUCCUUUAUCUUUCACAGGCUCUUCUCUUAGUAAACCACUUGCACAUCU